rnacentral:rRNA from 1 species
UACGUAGGGCGCAAGCGUUGUCCGGAAUUAUUGGGCGUAAAGAGCUCGUAGGCGGCUUGUCACGUCGAUUGUGAAAGCCCGGGGCUUAACUCCGGGUCUGCAGUCGAUACGGGCUAGCUAGAGUGUGGUAGGGGAGAUCGGAAUUCCUGGUGUAGCGGUGAAAUGCGCAGAUAUCGGGAGGAACACCGGUGGCGAAGGCGGCGCUCUGGACCGAGACUGACGCUGAGGCGCGAAAGCGUGGGGAGCAAACAGG